rnacentral:tRNA from 1 species
GUCCCCAUCGUCUAGAGGCCCAGGACGCUGCCCUUUCAAGGCGGUAACGGGGGUUCGAAUCCCCCUGGGGACG